UACGGGGGGGGUAAGCGUUGUUCGGAAUUACUGGGCGUAAAGGGCUCGUAGGCGGCCAACUAAGUCAUACGUGAAAUCCCUCAGCUUAACUGGGGAACUGCGUGUGAUACUGGAUGGCUUGGAUUUGGGAGAGGGAUGCGGAAUUCCAGGUGUAGCGGUGAAAUGCGUAGAUAUCUGGAGGAACACCGGUGGCGAAGGCGGCAUCCUGGACCAAUAUUGACGCUGAGGCGCGAAAGCGUGGGUAGCAAACAGG
rnacentral:rRNA from 1 species